UAUAACCUACGCGCCUAUUUUGUCCACCUCCUUCUACUUCUUCUACUCGCUCUGUUUUUUCCAAAUUCUAAGGUACCUAACGAUUCUUCUCUCUCUCUCUCUCUCUCUCACGUACACCCACACCCACACUUUGAGUUAUUAUUCAGGAUUUGAAUUGAGCUAGCUACAAUUUGUUCUCCUGAUUUUGGGGAAUAUUGUUUUUUUUUCACGCUCCUGUUAAAAAUUGCUGGCUUUGUUGAUCAACAGUAGAUAAGUUAAUUAGCUUAUGAUCAGAUGAGUUUGAAGUGAUUAAGCUGAAUCUGAGGUAGAGGUUUUAAUUUAGAGCAAAUUGCAGAAUGGUGAUAUGAUUAGUCAAGAAUUUUGAUUUUUGGUACAUUUGCAUAGAAUACUUGAAAACUUUAAAAUAUGCUAGUGCCUCUGUUUAUAUGAACCUAUUUCUGUUUUUAGUCGCAAAAAGAAUAAAACCAUUCCUAUUAAGGAAACUCUUAAUUUUAGGAUUUCAAUAUGACCUUUAAUGAGAAGCUUUUACAAACACACAAAUGUUAUGUCAUAUUUUACAGCACAAGUUUCAAAAGAUUUAGUCACAAUUAUGUUAAUGACAUGUGUACAACCACAAGUUUCAAAAAUCUUGUACCCAGUCAAAUGGAUUCACAUAAAUUGAAGCGGAGAUAUUAAAUACAGGGCGUGCUCAUUUAUUUUUAGAUGAAAAAAACUUAUACAUGAUGCAUUUAUUUAUCUUUUUAGGGUUCAAAACCGAUCUUACUAAUAAAUCAUUUUCGUAGGAUGUGAUGCAUAUGCAUAUAUGUACUUUAUUUUUAUUUUUUUUGUUGGUACCGGGAAUUUUGAAUUUUAGCUAAUUGUUUCCUUCAUACUUAAUUCAAAAGAAACUUAAUACAAAACUUAAUAUUUUUACUGUAGAAUGCGUAAAUUUCAAUGGUUUACCUGAGUAGCAGAGCCAUAGCAUUUGGUUAUAAGAUGUGUUUCUUUUAAAAUUGGUGUACGCCUCAAUUACAAACUAGUUGGUGUUGGUUAUAUGAAUUCUAUAUCCAUUCUGCUCCAUUUGGUCCGGUCCAUACCCCUACUCAGUUUUUUUAAAGCAAAAGAACUGACAACAUUUUGAUUUGAAUAUAUCUCUAAAACAGUGCACAUUUUCAUCUGUCACAGAAAAAUUGGGGAAGGCUGACAUGUAAUUCACACGUCAGGAGGCAUUAUCGGUCAAGUAAGAAGAUUGUCCUACUAAAGUACGGAUUGAAAUGAACUGCAGCUGCUUUGGUGCCUCAACUGUGCGGCAGAAAAGGGGUAUUGAUCAUGUUCAUAGAGAUACACCACACACUGGAGG
rnacentral:lncRNA from 1 species